GCUCGACAUUAAAUCGAGAAAAAUGUUAUUUUUUAGUUUUAAAAUGGUCUUGAAUUAAAUUAGAAGACAACAACUUUACAUUAUUAACAAAAUGAACAUAUGAGUGUAAUAAAGGCAUAAACACAAGAAUAAAUGAAAAUGCUAAAAAAACAAAAUAACUAAAAGAAAUAAAAUGCAAAGGAAAAUGCUACACAUGAGUAUUGAACCCACCCCACUCAAGAAUAUGUGAACACUGC
rnacentral:lncRNA from 1 species